GCUUGAGUGGCUCAGUUGGUUAGGCACCUGCCUUCGGCUCAGGUCAUGUGGGAUCGAGCCCCACGUUGGGCU
rnacentral:tRNA from 1 species